UACGGAGGGUGCAAGCGCUAUCCGGAUUUACUGGGUUUAAAGGGUGCGUAGGUGGGUCUGUAAGUCAGUGGUGAAAUCUCCGAGCUUAACUCGGAAACUGCCAUUGAUACUAUAGGUCUUGAAUUAUCUGGAGGUGAGCGGAAUAUGUCAUGUAGCGGUGAAAUGCUUAGAUAUGACAUAGAGCACCAAUUGCGAAGGCAGCUCACUACGGAUAUAUUGACACUGAGGCACGAAAGCGUGGGGAUCAAACAGG
rnacentral:rRNA from 1 species